rnacentral:rRNA from 1 species
GAUGAACGCUGGCGGCGUGCCUAAUACAUGCAAGUCGAGCGAACGGACGAGAAGCUUGCUUCUCUGAUGUUAGCGGCGGACGGGUGAGUAACACGUGGAUAACCUACCUAUAAGACUGGGAUAACUUCGGGAAACCGGCGCUAAUACCGGAUAAUAUUUUGAACCGCAUGGUUCAAAAGUGAAAGACGGUCUUGCUGUCACUUAUAGAUGGAUCCGCGCUGCAUUAGCUAGUUGGUAAGGUAACGGCUUACCAAGGCAACGAUGCAUAGCCGACCUGAGAGGGUGAUCGGCCACACUGGAGCUGAGACACGGUCCAGACUCCUACGGGAGGCAGCAGUAGGGAAUCUUCCGCAAUGGGCGAAAGCCUGACGGAGCGACGCCGCGUGAGUGAUGAAGGUCUUCGGAUCGUAAAACUCUGUUAUUAGGGAAGAACAUAUGUGUAAGUAACUGUGCACAUCUUGACGGUACCUAGUCAGAAAGCCACGGCUAACUACGUG